rnacentral:rRNA from 1 species
AGUGAACGCUGGCGGUAGGCCUAACACAUGCAAGUCGAACGGCAGCACAGUAAGAGCUUGCUCUUACGGGUGGCGAGUGGCGGACGGGUGAGGGAUACAUCGGAAUCUACUUUUUCGUGGGGGAUAACGUAGGGAAACUUACGCUAAUACCGCAGACGACCUACGGGUGAAAGCAGGGGAUCUUCGGACCUUGCGCGAGUGAAUGAGCGGAGGUCGGAUUAGCUAGUUGGCGGGGUAAAGGCCCACCAAGGCGACGAUCCGUAACUGGUCUGAGAGGAUGAUCAGUCACACUGGAACUGAGACACGGUCCAGACUCCUACGGGAGGCAGCAGUGGGGAAUAUUGGACAAUGGGCGAAAGCCUGAUCCAGCCAUGCCGCGUGUGUGAAGAAGGUCUUCGGAUUGUAAAGCACUUUAAGUUGGGAGGAAGGGCAGUAAGUUAAUACCUUGCUGUUUUGACGUUACCAACAGAAUAAGCACCGGCUAACUUCGUG